UCACUGCUGCUAUUAACCCAAUUAACAGUUUUAUGGAGGAAAUGUACAGAGGGGCUCUGAACACUGUGGAAGUCACCAAGGCAUUGCAACCUUUUAAAAUGGAACUGACCUUUGGAAACAGCCAGAACUCCAACUGGAUGAAAAAGGCAGGCGUCCUACACAGUCACACCUUGUGUGUAUAAGCAGGGAAAAGCACCAAAUGCCUCCCCAGCGAUCUGCAGGGCAAGCAAACCAAUGACCCCUGGAAAAGAGCUGCUAUAUCUCUACAGCUAAGAGAAUCAUUGUUGGUUCUUUUCUAAUCAGCUAAAAAAAAAUCCAACAACAAGUCAAAACAUAGCACUAACUUUGAAAUCAAUCACUACAAGGGGGAAAAAAAAAUCUAAGAAAGUCUUCAGCCAAAACUCAACAAAUUACAGAAUAACAAAAACAUCUGGACAUAUUUAUAGUAUAAUAUAACUAAUCUAAAACAAGCCAUGGUAAUUUGCAGAAAGCUUA